AUAGGAAUACGCUGUACAGUCCUUAUUUCCGGUUGCAGUUCCGGCCCACGAGACACGAGUGUUAGCCGUUUGGGCUUCCAGCGGGCGUUAAAGUCCAAAAACUGGGCACGGUGGCUACAUGUGAUUGAUUAAAAUGAACACAUAGAAGUCCUGAAGAAAGCUGAGGAGACUUCUAUGAUUCACAUCAACUACAUCCAGACCUCACCAUGUUCAGCAGUGCUUCAAAGGACAACACUGCCAAGGUUCUUCCACGCUGUGUACGAGGAGGGGUUUGGCAGGAGUCAAAGGUCAUUUUGGUUCCGUCAAUUGUGUGGCUUUCCACCCUGACGGCAAGAGAUGUAAUGGAGGAGAAGACUUGAGAACACAGCAGCUUGGACUCUGCCAGGAAGAGUGAAGGAGCAACUUUAUUUGAAGCAGAUCACUUGUUUGCUGGACUGGUGAGUAUUUUACUGAAACGUUUUGGCAACAGAUAGUCUUUUUAGAUCACUUGUUUGCUAGACUUGAGUAUUUUACUGAAAGUUUCUGUCAUUGACAGAAACUUUCAGUAAAAUACUUAAAGAUACUUAAUGCUCACUUUUUUGCAACUGUUUUUUUUUUUUUUGCACUUAGUAUUUAUUUUAGCUUUUGCACUUCAUUGUUAGAUAUUUAACACACUUUCCAGAGGAAAAAUUGUACUUUCAUUGUGAUCUGUAUUUGAUUGUUGUAAACCUUCCUGAAUAAAGAAAGUUGUUGGAA